GGGAAGGUGGCUCAGUGGUAGAGCACUUGCCUUGCAUGCCUGAGGCCCUGGGUUCAAUUCCUCAGCACCCCA
rnacentral:tRNA from 1 species